rnacentral:rRNA from 1 species
CAGUAGCCGCGGGAAUACGUAGGGUGCAAGCGUUAAUCGGAAUUACUGGGCGUAAAGCGUGCGCAGGCGGUUUUGUAAGUCUGUCGUGAAAUCCCCGGGCUCAACCUGGGAAUGGCGAUGGAGACUGCAAGGCUAGAAUCUGGCAGAGGGGGGUAGAAUUCCACGUGUAGCAGCGAAAUGCGUAGAUAUGUGGAGGAACACCGAUGGCGAAGGCAGCCCCCUGGGCUAAGAUUGACGCUCAUGCACGAGAGCGUGGGGAGCAAACAGGAUUAGAGACCCCCGUAGUCCCUGUCUCUUAUAC